rnacentral:ncRNA from 1 species
CCUUCGCGCCUUGUAGCAGGUGCCCCCAACGCAUUGCGUGUGCGGGGUGAAACAGGGAAGUCGGUGCGCUGUGCGUGUGAACGCCAGCAAUUCCGACGCUGCCCCCGCAACGGUAAGUGAGUCAAACGCCGCAAGAACCACUGUGCGUGAUGCAUGGGAAGGUGCGGUCGUGAGCCAUUCGGCUCGCUCACAAGCCCGGAGACCGGCCUGCUGCAGUCCACGGCAU